CCUACGGGAGGCAGCAGUGAGGAAUAUUGGUCAAUGGGCGCAAGCCUGAACCAGCCAAGUAGCGUGCAGGAUGACGGCCCUACGGGUUGUAAACUGCUUUUAUACGGGAAUAACCUGCCUUACGUGUAGCGCUUUCCAUGUACCGUAUGAAUAAGGACCGGCUAAUUCCGUGCCAGCAGCCGCGGUAAUACGGAAGGUCCGGGCGUUAUCCGGAUUUAUUGGGUUUAAAGGGAGCGUAGGCCGCAUGUUAAGCCGGCUGGGAAAUGCCCGGGCUCAACCCGGGCAUUGCAGCGCGAACUGGCUGGCUUGAGUCCGCGGGAGGUAGGCGGAAUUCGUGGUGUAGCGGUGAAAUGCUUAGAUAUGACGAAGAACCCCGAUUGCGAAGGCAGCCUGCUGCAG
rnacentral:rRNA from 1 species